rnacentral:rRNA from 1 species
AUUGAACGCUGGCGGCAGGCCUAACACAUGCAAGUCGAGCGAGCGGCGGACGGGUGAGUAAUGUCUGGGAAACUGCCUGAUGGAGGGGGAUAACUACUGGAAACGGUAGCUAAUACCGCAUACCAUCAGAUGUGCCCAGAUGGGAUUAGCUAGUAGGUGGGGUAAUGGCUCACCUAGGCGACGAUCCCUAGCUGGUCUGAGAGGAUGACCAGCCACACUGGAACGGAGGCACGGUCCAGACUCCGACGGGAGGAAGCAGUGGGGAAUAUGGCACAAUGGGCGCAAGCGUGAUGCAGCGAUGCAGCGUGUGUGAAGAGGGCCUUCGGGUUGUAAAGCACUUUCAGCGGUGAGGGGUUACCCGCAGAAGAAGCACCGGCUAACUCCGUGCCAGCAGCCGCGGUAAUUC